rnacentral:sRNA from 1 species
GGGCAUGUUAGGCUUCGAUGAGAUGUUGUUUUUACAAUCAGCAUGUCGUGUGGCGAAUCACCACUCGUUAAUCACUUGAUUCAUCAUGUUACGUGCAAACAUUCUACAGCGCGUGAAGACAGCUUUUGCUCCUUCUUUCGCGCCUGCUUUCGCCUAAAUAGCGAUAGCCAUCGGAUUUUAUCUGCCGUCGGGUAGAAUUUCGGUGUCAAUUCAGACGGCUUUAGUUAGUUUGUCCGGAAUUCAGACUAACCGAAUUGCACAAUAUUCCACGCAUAUUGCGGGCUUUGUCAGUCUGUUGCCGAGAUAUGCGUAAUUUAGACUGGCUAAACAUGUAGAAGAUUGUAGGGAUGCGUUUCACACGCGAGUUCGAUUCUCGCCAUGUCCACCC